AGACCCGAAACCCGGUGAUCUAGCCAUGGGCAGGUUGAAGGUUGGGUAACACUAACUGGAGGACCGAACCGACUAAUGUUGAAAAAUUAGCGGAUGACCUGUGGCUGGGGGUGAAAGGCCAAUCAAACCGGGAGAUAGCUGGUUCUCCCCGAAAGCUAUUUAGGUAGCGCCUCGUGAAUUCAUCUCCGGGGGUAGAGCACUGUUUCGGCUAGGGGGCCAUCCCGGCUUACCAACCCGAUGCAAACUGCGAAUACCGGAGAAUGUUAUCACGGGAGACACACGGCGGGUGCUAACGUCCGUCGUGAAGAGGGAAACAACCCAGACCGCCAGCUAAGGUCCCAAAGUCAUGGUUAAGUGGGAAACGAUGUGGGAAGGCCCAGACAGCCAGGAUGUUGGCUUAGAAGCAGCCAUCAUUUAAAGAAAGCGUAAUAGCUCACUGGUCGAGUCGGCCUGCGCGGAAGAUGUAACGGGGCUAAACCAUGCACCGAAGCUGCGGCAGCGACGCUUAUGCGUUGUUGGGUAGGGGAGCGUUCUGUAAGCCUGUGAAGGUGUGUCGUGAGGCAUGCUGGAGGUAUCAGAAGUGCGAAUGCUGACAUAAGUAACGAUAAAGCGGGUGAAAAGCCCGCUCGCCGGAAGACCAAGGGUUCCUGUCCAACGUUAAUCGGGGCAGGGUGAGUCGACCCCUAAGGCGAGGCCGAAAGGCGUAGUCGAUGGGAAACGGGUUAAUAUUCCCGUACUUGGUGUUACUGCGAAGGGGGGACGGAGAAGGCUAUGUUGGCCGGGCGACGGUUGUCCCGGUUUAAGCGUGUAGGUGUGUGUUCCAGGUAAAUCCGGUUCACUUUAACACUGAGGCGUGAUGACGAGGCACUACGGUGCUGAAGUAACAAAUGCCCUGCUUCCAGGAAAAGCCUCUAAGCAUCAGGUAACAUCAAAUCGUACCCCAAACCGACACAGGUGGUCAGGUAGAGAAUACCAAGGCGCUUGAGAGAACUCGGGUGAAGGAACUAGGCAAAAUGGUGCCGUAACUUCGGGAGAAGGCACGCUGACACGUAGGUGAAGUGAUUUACUCAUGGAGCUGAAGUCAGUCGAAGAUACCAGCUGGCUGCAACUGUUUAUUAAAAACACAGCACUGUGCAAACACGAAAGUGGACGUAUACGGUGUGACGCCUGCCCGGUGCCGGAAGGUUAAUUGAUGGGGUCAGCGCAAGCGAAGCUCCUGAUCGAAGCCCCGGUAAACGGCGGCCGUAACUAUAACGGUCCUAAGGUAGCGAAAUUCCUUGUCGGGUAAGUUCCGACCUGCACGAAUGGCGUAAUGAUGGCCAGGCUGUCUCCACCCGAGACUCAGUGAAAUUGAACUCGCUGUGAAGAUGCAGUGUACCCGCGGCAAGACGGAAAGACCCCGUGAACCUUUACUAUAGCUUGACACUGAACAUUGAGCCUUGAUGUGUAG
rnacentral:rRNA from 1 species